UGGGGAAUUUUGGACAAUGGGGGCAACCCUGAUCCAGCCAUGCCGCGUGUGUGAAGAAGGCCUUCGGGUUGUAAAGCACUUUCGGACGGAACGAAAUCGCGCGGGUGAAUAUCCCGCGUGGAUGACGGUACUGUAAGAAGAAGCACCGGCUAACUACGUGCCAGCAGCCGCGGUAAUACGUAGGGUGCGAGCGUUAAUCGGAAUUACUGGGCGUAAAGCGUGCGCAGGCGGCUUCGCAAGUCAGACGUGAAAUCCCCGGGCUUAACCUGGGAAUGGCGUUUGAAACUACGGAGCUGGAGUGUGGCAGAGGGGGGUAGACUUCAACGUGUAGCGGUGAAAUGCGUAGAUAUGUGGAGGAAUACCGAUGGCGAAGGCAGCCCCCUGGGCCAACACUGACGCUCAUGCACGAAAGCGUGGGGAGCAAACAGG
rnacentral:rRNA from 1 species